UACGAAGGGGGCGAGCGUUGUUCGGAAUUACUGGGCUUAAAGCGUGCGUAGGCGGAUCAGCAAGUUGGGAGUGAAAUCCCUGGGCUUAACCCAGGAAUUGCUUUCAAAACUGCUAAUCUAGAAUCCGGUAGAGGUUAAUGGAAUGUCCAGUGUAGAGGUGAAAUUCGCAGAUAUUGGACGGAACACCAGUGGCGAAGGCGAUUAACUGGGCCGGUAUUGACGCUGAGGUACGAAAGCGUGGGUAGCAAACAGG
rnacentral:rRNA from 1 species